UAGAGUUUGAUCCUGGCUCAGAUUGAACGCUGGCGGCAGGCUUAACACAUGCAAGUCGAACGGUAACAGGAAGCAGCUUGCUGCUUUGCUGACGAGUGGCGGACGGGUGAGUAAUGUCUGGGAAACUGCCUGAUGGAGGGGGAUAACUACUGGAAACGGUAGCUAAUACCGCAUAACGUCGCAAGACCAAAGUGGGGGACCUUCGGGCCUCAUGCCAUCAGAUGUGCCCAGAUGGGAUUAGCUAGUAGGUGGGGUAAUGGCUCACCUAGGCGACGAUCCCUAGCUGGUCUGAGAGGAUGACCAGCCACACUGGAACUGAGACACGGUCCAGACUCCUACGGGAGGCAGCAGUGGGGAAUAUUGCACAAUGGGCGCAAGCCUGAUGCAGCCAUGCCGCGUGUAUGAAGAAGGCCUUCGGGUUGUAAAGUACUUUCAGCGAGGAGGAAGGCAUCAGGGUUAAUAACCCAGGUGAUUGACGUUACUCGCAGAAGAAGCACCGGCUAACUCCGUGCCAGCAGCCGCGGUAAUACGGAGGGUGCAAGCGUUAAUCGGAAUUACUGGGCGUAAAGCGCACGCAGGCGGUCUGUUAAGUCAGAUGUGAAAUCCCCGGGCUCAACCUGGGAACUGCAUUUGAAACUGGCAGGCUUGAGUCUCGUAGAGGGGGGGUAGAAUUCCAGGGGUAGCGGUGAAUGGCGUAGAGAUCUGGAGGAA
rnacentral:rRNA from 1 species